AUUGAACGCUGGCGGCAGGCCUAACACAUGCAAGUCGAGCGGAUAGGCGGACGGGUGAGUGAUGCCUAUGAAUCUGCCUGGCAGUGGGGGAUAACGUCCGGAAACGGGCGCUAAUACUGCACACUAUCUGAUGAGCGUAGGUCGGUUUGGCUAGUUCGUGGGGUAAAGGGCUACGAAGGCGACGAUCCGUAGCUGGUCUGAGAGGAUGAUCAGUCAAAUGGGUACGUAGAUAAGGUCCAGAAUCCUACGGGAGGCAGCAGUGGGGAAUAUUGGACAAUGGGCGAAAGCCUGAUCCAGCCAUGCGGGGUGUGUGAAGAAGGUCUUCGGAUUGUAAAGCACUUUAAGUUGGGAGGCGUUACCAACAGAAUAAGCACCGGCUAACUUCGUGCCAGCCGCCGCGGUAAUUC
rnacentral:rRNA from 1 species